GGAUUAGAUACCCUGGUAGUCCACGCCAUAAACGAUGGACACUUGGUGUUGGAGGUAUUGACCCCUUCAGUGCCGAAGCUAACGCGUUAAGUGUCCCGCCUGGGGAGUACGGCCGCAAGGUUAAAACUCAAAGAAAUUGACGGGGGCCCGCACAAGCGGUGGAGCAUGUGGUUUAAUUCGAUGCAACGCGAAAAACCUUACCUGGGUUUGACAUGUAGUGGAAGACUGCCAGAGAUGGCGUCGCCUUCGGGCCGCUACACAGGUGCUGCAUGGCUGUCGUCAGCUCGUGCCG
rnacentral:rRNA from 1 species